GACGAACGCUGGCGGCGUGCUUAACACAUGCAAGUCGAACGGAAAGGCCCUGCUUUUGUGGGGUGCUCGAGUGGCGAACGGGUGAGUAACACGUGAGUAACCUGCCCUUGACUUUGGGAUAACUUCAGGAAACUGGGGCUAAUACCGGAUAGGAGCUCCUGCUGCAUGGUGGGGGUUGGAAAGUUUCGGCGGUUGGGGAUGGACUCGCGGCUUAUCAGCUUGUUGGUGGGGUAGUGGCUUACCAAGGCUUUGACGGGUAGCCGGCCUGAGAGGGUGACCGGCCACAUUGGGACGGAGAUACGGCCAAGACGCCUACGGGAGGCAGCAGUGGGGAAUAUUGCACAAUGGGCGGAAGCCGGAUGCAGCAACGCCGCGUGCGGGAUGACGGCCUUCGGGUUGUAAACCGCUUUCGCCUGUGACGAAGCGUGAGUGACGGUAAUGGGUAAAGAAGCACCGGCUAACUACGUG
rnacentral:rRNA from 1 species